rnacentral:rRNA from 1 species
CAAUAGCGUAUAUUAAAGUUGUUGCAGUUAAAAAGCUCGUAGUUGGAUUUCUGGUCGGAAGCUCCUGUCCUCUGAUGAGCGUACAAGUGCGUCCUACCAUCCUUCUGUUAACCUUUAAGGCUUUCGCGGCUUUCUAGGGGCUCAGAUAUUUUACCUUGAGAAAAUUAGAGUGUUUCAGGCAGGCUAGCGCCGGAAUACAUUAGCAUGGAAUAAUGGAAUAGGGCUUUUGCCUCUUCUGUUGGUCAUGAGGCUCGAGUAAUGAUUAAUAGGGAUAGUUGGGGGCAUUAGUACUUAACUGUCAGAGGUGAAAUUCUCGGAUUUGUUAAAGACUAACUUAUGCGAAAGCAUUUGCCAAGGAUGUUUUCAUUAA